GUGAGUCUGACUGAUAGAAUAGAGAUAGAUUGGAGAGGUGAGUCUGACUGAUAGAAUAGAGAUAGAUUGGAGAGGUGAGUCUGACUGAUAGAACAGAGAUAGAUUGGAGAGGUGAGUCUGACUGAUAGAACAGAGAUAGAUUGGAGAGGUGAGUCUGACUGAUAGAACAGAGAUAGAUUGGAGAGGUGAGUCUGACUGAUAGAACAGAGAUAGAUUGGAGAGGUGAGUCUGACUGAUAGAACAGAGACAGAUUGGAGAGGUGAGUCUGACUGAUAUAACAGAGGUAGAUUGGAGUGGUGAGUCUGACUGAUAGAACAGAGAUAGAUUGGAGAGGUGAGUCUGACAUAGAAUAGAGAUAGAUUGGAGUCUGACUGAUAGAACAGAGAUAGAUUGGAGAGGUGAGUCUGACUGAUAGAACAGAGAUAGAUUGGAGAGGUGAGUCUGACAUAGAAUAGAGAUAGAUUGGAGAGGUGAGUCUGACAUAGAAUAGAGAUAGAUUGGAGUCUGACUGAUAGAAUAGAGAUAGAUUGGAGAGGUGAGUCUGACUGAUAGAACAGAGAUAGAUUGGAGAGGUGAGUCUGACAUAGAAUAGAGAUAGAUUGGAGAGGUGAGUCUGACAUAGAAUAGAGAUAGAUUGGAGUCUGACUGAUAGAACAGAGAUAGAUUGGAGAGGUGAGUCUGACAUAGAAUAGAGAUAGAUUGGAGUCUGACUGAUAGAACAGAGAUAGAUUGGAGAGGUGAGUCUGACUGAUAGAAUAGAGAUAGAUUGGAGCGGUGAGUCUGACUGAUAGAACAGAGAUAGAUUGGAGCGGUGAGUCUGACUGAUAGAAUAGAGAUAGAUUGGAGCGGUGAGUCUGACUGAUAUAAUAGAGAUAGAUUGGAGCGGUGAGUCUGACUGAUAGAAUAGAGAUAGAUUGGAGUGGUGAGUCUGACUGAUAGAAUAGAGAUAGAUUGGAGCGGUGAGUCUGACUGAUAGAACAGAGAUAGAUUGGAGUCUGACUGAUAGAAUAGAGAUAGAUUGGAGAGGUGAGUCUGACUGAUAGAACAGAGAUAGAUUGGAGAGGUGAGUCUGACUGAUAGAAUAGAGAUAGAUUUGAGAGGUGAGUCUGACUGAUAGAAUAGAGAUAGAUUGGAGAGGUGAGUCUGACUGAUAGAAUAGAGAUAGAUUGGAGAGGUGAGUCUGACUGAUAGAACAGAGAUAGAUUGGAGAGGUGAGUCUGACUGAUAGAACAAAGAUAGAUUGGAGCGGUGAGUCUGACAGAUAGAACAGAGAUAGAUUGGAGUCUGACUGAUAGAACAGAGAUAGAUUGGAGCAGUGAGUCUGACUGAUAGAAUAGAGAUAGAUUGGAGAGGUGAGUCUGACUGAUAGAAUAGAGAUAGAUUGGAGUCUGACUGAUAGAAUAGAGAUAGAUUGGAGAGGUGAGUCUGAAUGAUAGAACAGAGAUAGAUUGGAGCGGUGAGUCUGACUGAUAGAAUAGAGAUAGAUUGGAGAGGUGAGUGACUGAUAGAAUAGAGAUAGAUUGGAGAGGUGAGUCUGACUGAUAUAAUAGAGAUAGAUUGGAGAGGUGAGUCUGACUGAUAGAACAGAGAUAGAUUGGAGAGGUGAGUCUGACUGAUAUAACAGAGAUAGAUUGGAGCGGUGAGUCUGACUGAUAGAACAGAGAUAGAUUGGAGAGGUGAGUCUGACAUAGAAUAGAGAUAGAUUGGAGCGGUGAGUCUGACAUAGAAUAGAGAUAGAUUGGAGAGGUGAGUCUGACAUAGAAUAGAGAUAGAUUGGAGUCUGACUGAUAGAAUAGAGAUAGAUUGGAGAGGUGAGUCUGACUGAUAGAACAGAGAUAGAUUGGAGAGGUGAGUCUGACAUAGAAUAGAGAUAGAUUGGAGAGAUGAGUCUGACAUAGAAUAGAGAUAGAUUGGAGUCUGACUGAUAGAACAGAGAUAGAUUGGAGAGGUGAGUCUGACUGAUAGAAUAGAGAUAGAUUGGAGAGGUGAGUCUGACUGAUAGAAUAGAGAUAGAUUGGAGAGGUGAGUCUGACUGAUAGAACAGAGAUAGAUUGGAGAGGUGAGUCUGACUGAUAGAACAGAGAUAGAUUGGAGUCUGACUGAUAGAAUAGAGAUAGAUUGGAGAGGUGAGUCUGACUGAUAGAACAGAGAUAGAUUGGAGUUAUGAGUCUGACUGAUAGAAUAGAGAUAGAUUGGAGAGGUGAGUCUGACUGAUAGAAUAGAGAUAGAUUGGAGAGGUGAGUCUGACUGAUAGAAUAGAGAUAGAUUGGAGAGGUGAGUCUGACAUAGAAUAGAGAUAGAUUGGAGAGGUGAGUCUGACUGAUAGAAUAGAGAUAGAUUGGAGUCUGACUGAUAGAAUAGAGAUAGAUUGGAGAGGUGAGUCUGACUGAUAGAAUAGAGAUAGAUUGGAGAGGUGAGUCUGACUGAUAGAACAGAGAUAGAUUGGAGCGGUGAGUCUGACUGAUAGAAUAGAGAUAGAUUGGAGAGGUGAGUGACUGAUAGAAUAGAGAUAGAUUGGAGAG
rnacentral:lncRNA from 1 species